AGAUUGAACGCUGGCGGCAUGCCUAACACAUGCAAGUCGAACGGCAGCACAGCCCGCAAGGGUGGUGGCGAGUGGCGGACGGGUGAGGAAUACAUAGGAAUCUACCCUGUCGUGGGGGAUAACGUAGGGAAACUUACGCUAAUACCGCAUACGACCGAGAGGUGAAAGCGGCGGACCGCAAGGCGUCGCGCGGCUGGAUGAGCCUAUGUCCGAUUAGCUAGUUGGCGGGGUAAUGGCCCACCAAGGCGACGAUCGGUAGCUGGUCUGAGAGGAUGAUCAGCCACACUGGAACUGAGACACGGUCAGACU
rnacentral:rRNA from 1 species